rnacentral:rRNA from 1 species
GACGAACGCUGGCGGCGUGCCUAAUCCAUGCAAGUCGAGCGGAGCGGCGGAAGGGUGAGUAAUGCCUAGGACACUGCCUGGUCGUGGGGGAUAACGUCCGGAAACGGGCGCUAAUAACGCCUACUAUCAGAUGAGCCUAGGGCGGAUUAGCUAGUUGGUGGGGUAAAGGCCUACCAAGGAGACGAUCCGUAACGGGUCUGUGAGGGUGGUCAGUCCAACGGGAACUGAGACAGGGUCCAGCCUAAUACUGGGGGCAGGAGGGGGGAAUAUUGGACAAUGGGUGAAAGCCUGAUCCAGCCAUGCCGCGUGUGUGAAGAAGGUCUUCUGAUUGUAAAUCACUUUAAGUUUGGAGGCGUUACCAACAGAAUAAGCACCGGCUAACUUCGUGCCAGCAGCCGCGGUAAAC